GAUCCGAGACGAGUGGGGUAACCAGAUCUGGAUCUGUCCUGGCUGUAACAAGCCAGAUGAUGGCAGUCCAAUGAUAGGUUGUGAUGACUGCGAUGAUUGGUAUCACUGGCCUUGCGUUGGGAUUACCACUGCACCCCCAGAAGAGAUGCAAUGGUUCUGCUCCAAGUGUGCCAACAAAAAGAAGGAUAAAAAACACAAGAAGAGGAAGCACAGGGCACACUGAAGGCUUUGCAGCGGACUGAAGUCGUGCGGUCGCCGCGGCACCUCCUGCCCUGACUCCCGUUGCGGGGGAGGUCCAGCCUGCUCGUGUCUCACCCUUCGUCACCGGCUGUUAGGGUUAUGACUCUGGAGUGAAUCAGGGGCGAGGAGAUGCUCUCUGUCAGGGCCUGUUGCGUUUUGCAGACCGUCCGAGCCCAGGGCGUUGGAUUUUGGUACAUUCUGAAUCGUUUCUUUCGCCUACCGGAGGAAAUUUGCACAGAGCGAUAUGAAGACUUGGGUAGUUCAUGGUACCGCUCCCGCUCCUGUGGCUCGGCAGCAGCAAAGAUGAAUGUUGUAAAUACAGAUGUUUGUCCUAUUCUUUCUCGAUUUGUUAUUAAUCCCUCUGGAACCUUUGCAGGAAGGUGCUGAGAGGAGGGGAAAAUGUAAAUUGCAGUAAGUUGUAAACUGAGGAGACCUUCUGGAAUAGUUUCUGUAGCCUGGAUGCAGUUCAGCCUCUACUCCUGCUGAGCCAGAUAGUCAUAAAGUGGAAAUAAAAAGUGGCUGGUAAAUAUUUUUGUGACAAGAAUAUAUGAAGCUUUUUCCCUUGAUUUUUAGUACUAACAUAAAAUAAACACGUUCGAGCUUUUGUGAUA